CUAAUUUGAUUAAAAAAUUAAAUCAGAUUUAAAUCUAAUUUAAUUUGAUUAAUUUAAGCUCUUGAUUGGAUUAAUACCUAUUUUAAUUAGGUUGAUUUAGUUUUGAUUUGAUUUGAUUUGAGAAACCAAAUUUGAACAAGUCAUAGAUUUAAUCCUAUUAAGACUAGGAUUCCUCCUUGCGCCACCUUAGCCCCCCACGCCCACUCUCUCUUAUUUUGUAUGACAAAACCAUCUCUCCC
rnacentral:lncRNA from 1 species